rnacentral:misc_RNA from 1 species
GAUGAAGAACGUAGCGAAAUGCGAUAAGUAAUGCGAAUUGCAGAAUUCAGUGAGUCAUCGAAUCUUUGAACGCACAUUGCGCCCUGUGGUAUUCCGCAGGGCAUGCCUGUUCGAGCGUCAUUUCAACCCUCAAGCUCUGCUUGGUGUUGGGCCCUGCCCGCUGCGGCCGGCCCUAAAGACAGUGGCGGUGCCGCCUGGCCCUGAGCGUAGUACAUCUCUCGCUCCAGUGCCCGGUGGUAGCCUGCCAGAACCCCAACUCUCGUGGUUGACCUCGGAUCAGGUAGGGAUACCCGCUUAACUUAAGCAUAUCAAUAAGCGGAGGA